rnacentral:SRP_RNA from 1 species
GCUGGGCAUGGUGGCGCGUGCCUGUAAUCCCAGCUACUUAGGAGGCUGAGGCAGGAGAAUUGCCUGAACCCAGGAGGUGGAGGUUGCGGUGAGCCGAGAUUGCGCCACUGCACUCCAGCCUGGGUAAAAGAGCGAAACUCCGUCUCAA